CCAAUAGCGGAUAUUAAAGUUGUUGCAGUUAAAAAGCUCGUAGUUGAAUUUCGGGAUUAGUACGCUGGUCGUGCCUUUGGUAUGUACUGGUGUUACUGAUUCCUACCUUCUGACGAACCGUCAUGUCAUUCAUUUGGUGUGGCGGGGAAUCAGGACUGUUACUUUGAAAAAAUUAGAGUGUUUAAAGCAGGCUCGCGCUUGAAUACAUUAGCAUGGAAUAAUGAAAUAGGACGUUUGAUCCUAUUUUGUUGGUUUCUAGGAUUGACGUAAUGAUUAAUAGGGAUAGUUAGGGGCAUUAGUAUUCAAUUGUCAGAGGUGAAAUUCUUGGAUUUAUUGAAGACUAACUACUGCGAAAGCAUUUGCCAAGGAUGUUUUCAUUAAUCAAGAACGAAAGUUAGGGGAUCAAAGACGAUCAGAUACCGUCGUAGUCUUAACCAUAAACUAUGCCGACUAGGGAUCGGAUGAUGUUAAUUUUUUAAUGACUCAUUCGGCGCCUUACG
rnacentral:rRNA from 1 species